AGCGAGAUGGCGCAGCUGGUAGCGCGCUGGGCUCAUAUAUCAUUGAAUCAAACAUGUGUUGGUUGAAGGAGAGCUGUACCCAGAGGUCGUCGGAUCGAAACUGACUCUCGCUA